rnacentral:rRNA from 1 species
UACGUAGGUGGCAAGCGUUGUCCGGAUUUACUGGGCGUAAAGGGCGCGUAGGCGGUCGUGACAAGUCACUUGUGAAAUCUCCGGGCUUAACUCGGAACGGUCAAGUGAUACUGUCGGACUAGAGUACAGAAGGGGCAACUGGAAUUCUCGGUGUAGCGGUGAAAUGCGUAGAUAUCGAGAGGAACACCUGCGGCGAAGGCGGGUUGCUGGGCUGAUACUGACGCUGAGGCGCGAAAGCCAGGGGAGCGAACAGG